CUACGGGGGGCAGCAGUGGGGAAUAUUGGACAAUGGGGGAAACCCUGAUCCAGCAAUGCCGCGUGUGUGAAGAAGGCCUGCGGGUUGUAAAGCACUUUCGGUUGGGAGGACUGCUUCUAGCACUAAUAUUGUUGGAAGUUGACGUUACCUUCAGAAGAAGCACCGGCUAACUCCGUGCCAGCAGCCGCGGUAAUACGGAGGGUGAAGCGUUAAUCAGGAAUUACUGGGCGUAAAGCGCGCGUAGGCGGCUAGAUCAGUCGGGUGUGAAAGCCCCGGACUUAACCUGGGAACUGCAUCCGAUACUGUCUGGCUUGAGUACAGGAGAGGAGAGUGGAAUUCCACAUGUAGCGGUGAAAUGCGUAGAUAUGUGGAGGAACACCAAUGGCGAAGGCAGCUCUCUGGCCUGAUACUGACGCUGAGGUGCGAAAGCGUGGGGAGCAAACAGGAUUAGAUACCCCCGUAGUC
rnacentral:rRNA from 1 species